UACGUAGGGGGCAAGCGUUAUCCGGAUUUACUGGGUGUAAAGGGAGCGUAGACGGCAUGGCAAGUCUGAUGUGAAAACCUGGGGCUUAACCUCAGGACUGCAUUGGAAACUGUCAAGCUAGAGUGCAGGAGGGGUAAGCGGAAUUCCUAGUGUAGCGGUGAAAUGCGUAGAUAUUAGGAGGAACACCGGUGGCGAAGGCGGCUUACUGGACUGUAACUGACGUUGAGGCUCGAAGGCGUGGGGAGCAAAC
rnacentral:rRNA from 1 species